AAAUUGAAGAGUUUGAUCAUGGCUCAGAUUGAACGCUGGCGGCAGGCCUAACACAUGCAAGUCGAACGGUAACAGGAAGCAGCUUGCUGCUUCGCUGACGAGUGGCGGACGGGUGAGUAAUGUCUGGGAAACUGCCUGAUGGAGGGGGAUAACUACUGGAAACGGUGGCUAAUACCGCAUAAUGUCGCAAGACCAAAGAGGGGGACCUUCGGGCCUCUUGCCAUCAGAUGUGCCCAGAUGGGAUUAGCUUGUUGGUGAGGUAACGGCUCACCAAGGCGACGAUCCCUAGCUGGUCUGAGAGGAUGACCAGCCACACUGGAACUGAGACACGGUCCAGACUCCUACGGGAGGCAGCAGUGGGGAAUAUUGCACAAUGGGCGCAAGCCUGAUGCAGCCAUGCCGCGUGUAUGAAGAAGGCCUUCGGGUUGUAAAGUACUUUCAGCGGGGAGGAAGGUGUUGCGGUUAAUAACCGCAGCAAUUGACGUUACCC
rnacentral:rRNA from 1 species